rnacentral:tRNA from 1 species
AGAGUUUUAGUUUAUUUAAAACAUAUAUUUGUCAAAUAUAAAAUACCAAUAAGGUAAACACUA